rnacentral:tmRNA from 2 species
GGGGGUGUCAAGGUUUCGACUGUUGGAUUACGAUGGUCGGGUUGCAGGUGGAGCGUUACCUCCUUAAACUUUCUUUUUGUUAAGUGCCAAAAAAGAAGACGUUGUUGUCGUUUCUUUCGACAACACAGCACUUAAACUCGCAGCUUAAUAUAUAGCAGCGACGGGCACCCAGGACGCCGUUCUGAGGCUUGGACUGUCCGCCACAAACCAGAACUUACCUUUUCUUUAGUCCGAGACUGAAGAGGGACAUUAAAUCGGAAGUAGGAUUUUGCAGGGUCGUCUCCUCCUCUCGUAAUUUCUGAAAUACCAAGUAGAGACUAAACUUGUAGAGACCUUACCAGCGCCCAAUAGGACGCGGGUUCGAUUCCCGCCACCUCCAUAU